GAGCGGUAGAGAGAAGCUUGCUUUUCUUGAGAGCGGCGGACGGGUGAGUAAUGCCUAGGAAUCUGCCUGGUAGUGGGGGAUAACGUUCGGAAACGGACGCUAAUACCGCAUACGUCCUACGGGAGAAAGCAGGGGACCUUCGGGCCUUGCGCUAUCAGAUGAGCCUAGGUCGGAUUAGCUAGUUGGUGAGGUAAUGGCUCACCAAGGCGACGAUCCGUAACUGGUCUGAGAGGAUGAUCAGUCACACUGGAACUGAGACACGGUCCAGACUCCUACGGGAGGCAGCAGUGGGGAAUAUUGGACAAUGGGCGAAAGCCUGAUCCAGCCAUGCCGCGUGUGUGAAGAAGGUCUUCGGAUUGUAAAGCACUUUAAGUUGGGAGGAAGGGCAGUUACCUAAUACGUAUCUGUUUUGACGUUACCGACAGAAUAAGCACCGGCUAACUCUGUGCCAGCAGCCGCGGUAAUACAGAGGGUGCAAGCGUUAAUCGGAUUUACUGGGCGUAAAGCGUGCGUAGGCGGCUGAUUAAGUCGGAUGUGAAAUCCCUGAGCUUAACUUAGGAAUUGCAUUCGAUACUGGUCAGCUAGAGUAUGGGAGAGGAUGGUAGAAUUCCAGGUGUAGCGGUGAAAUGCGUAGAGAUCUGGAGGAAUACCGAUGGCGAAGGCAGCCAUCUGGCCUAAUACUGACGCUGAGGUACGAAAGCAUGGGGAGCAAACAGGAUUAGAUACCCUGGUAGUCCAUGCCGUAAACGAUGUCUACUAGCCGUUGGGGCCUUUGAGGCUUUAGUGGCGCAGCUAACGCGAUAAGUAGACCGCCUGGGGAGUACGGUCGCAAGACUAAAACUCAAAUGAAUUGACGGGGGCCCGCACAAGCGGUGGAGCAUGUGGUUUAAUUCGAUGCAACGCGAAGAACCUUACCUGGUCUUGACAUAGUAAGAACUUUCCAGAGAUGGAUUGGUGCCUUCGGGAACUUACAUACAGGUGCUGCAUGGCUGUCGUCAGCUCGUGUCGUGAGAUGUU
rnacentral:rRNA from 1 species